CCUACGGGAGGCUGCAGUGGGGAAUAUUGCACAAUGGGCGCAAGCCUGAUGCAGCGACGCCGCGUGGGGGAUGACGGCCUUCGGGUUGUAAACUCCUUUCGUUAGGGACGAAGCCACACCUUUUUUUGGGUGUGGUGACGGUACCUUUGUUAAGAAGCACCGGCUAACUACGUGCCAGCAGCCGCGGUAAUACGUAGGGUGCGAGCGUUGUCCGGAAUUACUGGGCGUAAAGAGCUCGUAGGUGGUUUGUUGCGUCGUCUGUGAAAUUCCGGGGCUUAACUUCGGGGUGGCAGGCGAUACGGGCAUAACUAGAGUGCUGUAGGGGAGACUGGAAUUCCUGGUGUAGCGGUGGAAUGCGCAGAUAUCAGGAGGAACACCGAUGGCGAAGGCAGGUCUCUGGGCAGUAACUGACGCUGAGGAGCGAAAGCAUGGGGAGCGAACAGGAUUAGAUACCCUAGUAGUC
rnacentral:rRNA from 1 species